rnacentral:rRNA from 1 species
CCCUUAGACGUUCUGGGCCGCACGCGCGCUACACUGACACAGGCAACGAGCUUUCCUUUACCGAAAGGUAUGGGUAAUCUUUUGAAACUGUGUCGUGCUGGGGAUAGAUCCUUGCAAUUUUUGAUCUUAAACGAGGAAUUCCUAGUAAGCGCGAGUCAUCAACUCGCGUUGAUUACGUCCCUGCCCUUUGUACACACCGCCUGUCGCUACUACCGAUUGAAUGGCUUAGUGAGGCCUCAGGAUCCGCGCUUAAUGUGUGGAGAAUUUGGACAAACUACGUCAUUUAGAGGAAGUAAAAGUCGUAACA